rnacentral:rRNA from 1 species
ACGAACGCUGGCGGCGUGCUUAACACAUGCAAGUCGCACGGAAAGGCCCUGCUUUUGUGGGGUGCUCGAGUGGCGAACGGGUGAGUAACACGUGAGUAACCUGCCCUUGACUUUGGGAUAACUUCAGGAAACUGGGGCUAAUACCGGAUAGGAGCUCCUGCUGCAUGGUGGGGGUUGGAAAGUUUCGGCGGUUGGGGAUGGACUCGCGGCUUAUCAGCUUGUUGGUGGGGUAGUGGCUUACCAAGGCUUUGACGGGUAGCCGGCCUGAGAGGGUGACCGGCCACAUUGGGACUGGGAUACGGGCCAGACUCCUACGGGAGGCAGCAGUGGGGAAUAUUGCACAAUGGGCGGAAGCCUGAUGCAGCAACGCCGCGUGCGGGAUGACGGCCUUCGGGUUGUAAACCGCUUUCGCCUGUGACGAAGCGUGAGUGACGGUAAUGGGUAAAGAAGCACCGGCUAACUACGUG